rnacentral:lncRNA from 1 species
UGGAAUAACAACCAAACUACAAUUAAAGAGAAUUUCUUUUUAGAAACCUAAAAGAUUUCAUUAAUGUAUGACCUUAUGAAUAUUACCAAGUAUUCAAUUAUCACUAUUAACUGCUUGAUAGUAGAUUCAAUGGUGUUGCAAUAGUUACAUUCAUGCUCCCCUGCUGAUCAUUUCCUGGAAACGUUUGAACGACUCUUCUCGUUGAAGCUGUAGCUGCUUUCGGAAAUUCUUGAUGAAAUCUCCAGCCUGUUUGUCUAUAUCUCUCAUCUCGGUUUCUGUAGUAAAUUGCCUCACCGUCGUCCUUCUCCUCUCGCCCCCGUUCUUCAUUUCAUUCUUUCUGCAGAUACUCGAAGAAAAAACUUUUCCAUCGCGGUCCAUUAUGUAGUUUGUCUGCAGAAUUGUUCAGAGAAUAAGAGUCUUUGUCUUGGUGAUGGCUUAAAGAUGAGGGAAUGUUAUAUUUAUAGGGACAAAACUGAAACUUAAGAACAUUAAAUUGGGGAAAAAUAAAAGCAAAGGAAAGAAGAGGGAUGUUAGAAAUAGUGAGAAAUUAGAAUAUGAUUGUUUUGUUGAGGAGUGGAAGGCAUUUUCUUGGUUAGUAAGACCAGAAAGAAAAGGCCAACAUAAUUCCUUAUUUUUGAUCGACUUUUGGAUUAAUUUUUGGCUUUGCUUGAGCAUUUUCAUUGAUUAUUGUUUUGGGAUAAUAAUGUAACUUUUCACGAGCUAGUAGACUAAAAAAAAAAGGUAAAAAUAAAGUCAAAAAAGGAAUAACAUAUACAAUGGAUUUUAUGAUUGUUGUUGACAUAGAUUUUUUUUUUUAAUUUUAAUUAAUAUAAUGAUAAACAUCGUAAAUUAUUUAAAAAGUUGUAAGAUUUAUUAUUUCAUAAUUUUUAACAAGUUAUCUUAAUUUUAAGUUUGAAAAUGUCUCAAAAUGACUUUUAAAGGUCAAUAAUAGUCAUAUAAUUUGGAAAGUAUUUUCAAAAUUGACAUGAAUUCAUGUAGUUUCUGCCAAUACAAUUAUGAAUAUCAUAAACAAUUGAAAAUAAAUUAUUAGUUAUAAGAUUUAUUGUUUUUAACAUAUUAAUUUUAAAUUGAUGUAUUUUUCAGUUCCAAAGGGAUGUGAAACCUUAUUUACAGUUAAUGGUUAAUAAGUUUCAUUAUUGAUUCCUUCGUGCAUGAAAUUUAUUCUGAUAAUCAGUUCCAACUUCUUAUAUGUUAUUCAGUUUACUAAUUUGGUUUCUGUAAGAUUAAAUUGAUUAAUUGAUAUCAUUUGUUGGAUUAAGAUAUAAUAUUAAGCAAACGAUGUUAUAUCUAAUCACAAGUAGUAUUACUUGGUGAUACUUGCUUGUGGACAAGCUUUUGAGUAUUAUUAAGAUUAUCAGAAAGCAAGUUAAAUUAUCCAUGAUAGUGUGAUUGUUGCAUGGAAUAGCCUAACUCUCUAAUUCUUAAUAUAUACUCCUGUCAUAUUAUUCUGAGUUAUAUAACAGUUAGGGUCUAGUGGAGGCGAUUUUUAGAUUUAAAAUAUAAUUAAGGAGAGUUUCGGAUAAUUGAGUGAUUGUGGUUAUCUAGGGUUGUUAAUUUCAUGGAAGGAAGAUAUAAUGUUAACUUGAUUACACUGUUGUUGUGAUUAAGUGAAACUGAACUGAAAUUUUAAUUUAUUUAGAUAUCUUUAUUUAGUUUAAUACAAACUCUAAACUCUCCAAAUAUUUACUUUCUGUUUUAUAGUUGGAAACAUUAGAAUAAAUCUGAAACAAUAUCAUUCUCUGUGGGGAUCGAUCCUUAGUUGCUUAUUGUUUGAUUUCGUAGAGUAACAAUGAGAUUUAAUUUUGAAGAGCUAAAUGAUAACACUCACUAAUCUUUGUAAACAAACAUAUCCCUAGUGUCUUGGCCAAAAAUCAAGGACAUGGAAGAAAUUAAAAUAGACGAGACACUUUUGGAACUCCUAGACUGACACCAACACCAUUAAUUCGCUCGAUCGGAUUUCUUUAGAAGAUGGAAAAUCUUUCAAAACACAAGAUGAACAAGUAGCGGGAGCUAGAGGGACAUAAUAUACACAUUUGUCCAUGGAAAAACAUAGUCAUAGUAGUAGUAGUAGUUGUUUUGGAAAUUAAUUAAGGAGCUUUGUAGAUAUGUAUGUAUAUAGUUGAUACCAUUGUGGCAUGACCAAACAUGUUGCCACAAGAACCAGUACAAGAGAAAAAUGAGUGGAAUUAGUGAUUCUUCUUCCAUCGGCUGCUUCGCGGCAUUGUUAACAUUGCUGCAGAGUAUUAAGUAUGGAAGCUGAAACAAAAGUAAGCAUUCAAGUUUUAAUUUUUUGAAGCACAUAAUUGAAUUGGACGAAUAACGUAUAUAUAUAAAACAAAAGCAGCACAACAAACUCUUACUAGCUACUGAAAUCUCCUAACUAUUGAAGAUAUAUAUUAAGUACAAAUUAAGGGACAUUUUUUUUCAAAAUAUAGUUAUGCAUGUGUCCGAGAGAGAGAGA